CUCAUUUUUAACAAUUAAUUUUUAGGAGUAUCUUUACAAGUCAGUUCUUUAGUUGCUUUUCGAUACACAACAGAAGUAGAAGUUUUAGUUCGCGGACGAACGAACAUUGUACGUGCAAUGACCAUACAUGUGCCCGCUGGAGAGAUUUAUUCCAAUAAUUGAUAAUUGCAAUUCAGAUGGUGCAUAAGUAUUUUGGCCGUUUUUCUUUUCUGUUUUACCCUAUACUUUAAAGGAGUCAUGUGUUUUUGAAUCUAGUCUUGUUUUUUAAUUGUCACUUUUUUAAUUGUAUAUCAAUAAAACUGUUCUGCUGUUUAAUGAAA